AACUAGGAGGAGCAUCUCCAAUUCAGUUACAAAAAGAUGAACAAGACAACAGAGAGAUUUAUCAAACUCUCUAGGCAAGCAUCAUAAAUGUAUGAAAAUUUGCUCAAUGGCACUAACAAAUCUCUAUCCCCCACGGCUGAAUGCUGUUGGAGGAAACCCUCCAAAUGUCUGGGGGCUGAGUUAGGAGCUUUAUGUCCAAGAGCUGGAAGAUAGUACCUCAGCCUGCACUAGGCGAUCAGCAAGUUGGAGAUCCCCGGCGAUGUGUGUAGAAUACCUUGGCAGAAUUAGAAUCUCAAAGGGGUGGAAAGAAACAAGAAUCCCAGUCACGACCCCCUUCUUCAUACGGAUCUGUGGGACUGACAAAAGGAGAACUUUAAAUUACAAACAAAAUAAUGAUGACUCCAUGGGGCUGGGCAUUUUAAAUUUCAGUUGAGACUACAUUUACAAUUUGGAGUGACCUGUACCUGCUGAAUCUAGGCAAAAUAAAAGAUGUCACUAAUAAUGAAGCUUUGUGUGAACAGAAAAUACUGCUUGUAUCAGGAAAGUCACAGGUGAUUCCACUUUGAUUUAUUUGGGCCCCGGGUGGUAGGCAACAUUCCAGGACGAUCCUCAAAAUCCUUAGCCCCCCGAUGUACACACACUGUCCCCCCUGUGAUUCAAUCAAUCACUGAUGUGAAGUGGUUUUAUAAAUGUAGUUCAG
rnacentral:lncRNA from 1 species